AGAGCGAACGCUGGCGGCAGGCCUAAUACAUGCAAGUCGAACGCACCUUCGGGUGAGUGGCGGACGGGUGAGUAACACGUGGGAACGUGCCUUUUGGUUCGGAAUAAUCCGGGGAAACCUGGCCUAAUACCGGAUGUGCCCUUCGGGGGAAAGAUUUAUCGCCAUUAGAGCGGCCCGCGUCUGAUUAGCUAGUUGGUGAGGUAAAGGCUCACCAAGGCUACGAUCAGUAGCUGGUCUGAGAGGAUGAUCAGCCACACUGGGACUGAGACACGGCCCAGACUCCUACGGGAGGCAGCAGUAGGGAAUCUUGCGCAAUGGGCGAAAGCCUGACGCAGCCAUGCCGCGUGAACGAUGAAGGUCUUAGGAUUGUAAAAUUCUUUCAGCGGGGAAGAUAAUGACUGUACCCGCAGAAGAAGCUCCGGCUAACUUCGUGCCAGCAGCCGC
rnacentral:rRNA from 1 species